UGCAAUGAACAUUUUGGUACAUGACUCUUUUUGAAUUUUGGUUUUCUCAGGGUAUAUGCCCAGUAGUGGGAUUGCUGGGUCAUAUGGUAGUUCUAUUUGUAGUUUUUAAAGGAACCUCCAUACUGUUCUCCAUAGUGGCUGUACCGACUCACAUUCGCACCAGCAGUUCAAGAGUGUUCCCUUUUCUCCACACCCUCUCCAGCAUUUAUUGUUUCUAGAUUUUUUGAUGAUGGCCAUUCUGACUGGUGUGAGAUGAUAUCUCAUUGUAGUUUUGAUUUGCAUUUCUCUAAUGAUUAAUGAUGUUGAGCAUUCUUUCAUGUGUUUGUUGGUAGUCUGUAUAUCUUCUUUGGAGAAAUGUCUAUUUAAGUCUUCUGCCCAUUUUUGGAUUGGGUUGUUUGUUUUUUUGUUAUUGAGCUGCAUGAGCUGCUUGUAAAUUUUGGAGAUUAAUCCUUUGUCAGUUGCUUCAUUUGCAAAUAUUUUCUCCCAUUCUGAGGGUUGUCUUUUCGUCUUGUUUAUGGUUUCCUUUGCUGUGCAAAAGCUUUUAAGUCUCAUUAGGUCCCAUUUGGUUUUUUUUGUUUUUAUUUCUGUUUCUCUAGGAGGUGGGUCAGAAAGCAUCUUGCUGUGAUUUAUGUCAUAGAAUGUUCUGCCUACGUUUUCCUCUAAGAGUUUUAUAGUCAGACCAUGUACUUUGAAACCAAGCAGACCUAGAGUCUAGUCCCAUCUCUACCACUUAGGAGCUAGCCGUGUGACCUAGGAAGUUGUUUAACCUCUCCAAGUCUCAAUUUCCCAAUCUUUCAGUUUGGAGCAGUAACAGUAUUUCAUAUGUUUGUUGUGAGGAUUGAAUACGAUACUCCACACUGUGAACAACUACAGGAAGUGCUCAACAAAUGGUAGAUAAAUAGUUAUUAUUCUACAGAGAUUUCAGGGGUUGAGGCUGUGGCCAUUUUGAUCUGUAAAGAAUCUUGACAAAAGUGGGGAAAUCUAAAACAGAGAUAUCUAUAUGCUUCCUGUGUUCGUCUUUUCUUGCUUCAGGAAUUUUGAGUGGUGUUUGUUUGACUAUAUGAGUGUGUGGAAAGAGGUGCGAUAGGACAGGAGCUAGAAAUUCUUUCUACUUUUAGAGAAAUGCCCUCUACCAAGGAUUUAUGCUAACAGGACCCCAUAGGCCCACCCUGUCAGCUGAGGAUGAAAACAGCCAGAGACAAUGGAAUAUGACACAGUAAUGCGUUCUCAUUUGUCAGGUGUCAGCUUGCUGAUAUGGUCUAAGGAUAUGGUGUUCAGUAAUUCCUAGAAAUUGGUAAUAAUGAUACCAUUUACACAGCAGCUCCUCUGGCAGUUUUCAAAGCACUUCCACAUACACCAUCUGAUUUAAUUUCCACCACAAUGCUAUGAGGAACCUGAAAUAAAUAUUAUCAUUCCCAUUUUAUAGAUGAGUAAAUACAUUCUGAGAAGCAAAAUGACCAUGCCCAAGGUCACAUAGCUGCUCAGUAAUCAACCUCAGACUUGAACCUGAGUUUUCACUCUGGGAUCAUUAUUUUUUUUCCAUCAAACAAACAGCUUGUUUGUUCUACCUAAUCCAUCUCGUAUUUUGAAUAUUAAGUGUGCUUACACCCAUGCUAGAUCCUUAAGAAUUUGUGUUUAUAAGAUCAUUUUGUAAUCAGUAGCAGCAGCUAACCUUGUGUGUCUUUUUCGUCCAACAAAGAACAAAGUUGGUCAUCCUGAUACACAGGUCUUUAAUGAUGUCAAUAAAAGAAACAGCCCACCCUUUGGUUAAAAGACUCUGAGCCUAGGGCUUCCCUGGUGGCGCAGUGGUUGAGAGUCCGCCUGACGAUGCGGGGGACACGGGUUCGUGCCCUGGUCCGGGAAGAUCCCACGUGCCGCGGAGCGGCUGGGCCCGUGAGCCAUGGCCGCUGAGCCUGCGCGUCUGGAGCCUGUGCUCCGUAACGGGAGAGGCCACAACAGUGAGAGGCCCGCGUACCGCAAAAAAAAAAAAAAAAGACUCUGAGCCCUCAAGGACCACUGGUUGUCCAGAGGAAGCCAUGGUUAUUCUGGUGAAGCACAAGGCCACGGUCGUUUUGAUCAGUCACUCAAUGGAGGGUCCAAAGCUUAAGCAGAAUAAACUCAGGACAGACAGCACUGGAAAUCUAGGAGUGUAACCUCACCAGCAGAUGAGGUAGUGAUGGAUGACUCCGGAUUAUGGAGUCCUUUUCAUCGCUCAAUUUAUAUUCUGAGUUGUUACCUAGAAUAAAUCCUACUGUUUCUAAUUAAUGCACUCGUUGUCUUUAUUUUGAAUGGAAAAGGGAAAAAAUGUGUUUAUACCCCUGCUAGCAGCAUACGAAGUAUGCCUAAAGUGGAAUAUCUUUCUCCAUCAUGAAUAACAUUAAUCUUUGCAGUUCUCCAAAGUAACUAAUUGCUGUAUAGUUGAAUUCCUGUUUGUAUGGAUGGGUGAGUUUCCAGGUGACAAUUUGUUGCAGGAAGAAUUCUCUCCAGAACCAUUCUUAAGAUUAUUGUCAAAUUCCUUAAUCAAGAAUGAGAAUCCAGGGAAUUCCGUGGCAGUCCUGUGGUUAGGAAUCCGCACUCUCACUGCCAAGGGCCUGGGUUCAAUCCCUGGUCGGGGAACUAAGAUCCCACAAGCUGUGCAGCGUGGCCAAAAAAAAGAAAAAAGAAGAAGCCAAACUGGUUAGGCUAAAUACACAGACAACCAGUUGGCAACAGGCUGAGCUCAUCCUUCCUGGAUUCUUAAUUGUCAGAGAGAAUUGAUGGAUAAAGCUACAGAGGGCUUGCAUCCAUUACAAAUCUUCGAACGGGAGGGGAGCCGCCACACAACAGUUUUCUUCUAUCCUGAGCCUGUCUUGUGUUUUUCCAAGUUCGUGAGUAUGAGAUGCCUGCACACACCCAUGCCCUCUGAUGAGAUGAUGACGGUAAUAGUGAACCUGAGGAUGCCACACCACUGUGCCAUAUUCUCAGAAGAACCCAGUUUUGUUCCAACAACAAUUUUCAGUGAAAAGAAUAAUCACAUUUUGUAUAUUCCCUUACAAGGACUUGGAGAGAUUACGUCCCUUGUUCAAGGUCACACAAUUAUUAAAUGGCAAAGUAGGAAUUUGAGCCUGGGUCUGUCUGCCCCCAACCCCAGGCUUUCCAGCAUCAGCCUCAUUGUCUCUACUGUGAUAAUGGCUUCCCUGUGGUAACUGUUAGAGGCUGGAAAAUGUGGGCCUGAGAGAACUUUUAAAUAUGAAAUAACUCUUUGCCUACUGAGAUUCUUAUUUUUAAAAACCCAGAGGAAAUUAUAUUAAUAUAUUUAUUUAACAUUUAUGUACAAUAUUUACAUUUACAAAAUGCUUUAUAGUAUAACAGAAUGGGCAGAAGUAUUUAUUGGGGCAUAUAAUUUGCCUUUCUUUCAUAUUCAUUUAUUCCUUUGAUUUAUAUCAAAUGUUCUCCACUUGGUCUUCUGAGAUCAUGUACAAUGGUAACAAAUUUAAAAUAAGAUUAAUAAAAGAUUAUUUUAUAUCACUCCUAGGGAAAACCGAGCAGGGCCAUGCCAUUCUCUGUUCUUGAUAAAUGUUAUGCAAAAGCGCAUAAUAUCGUCCCCAGCAUACUGUCUGUAGCACCAGCUACGCUUGUUCAUGGUACUUUGAAACUCUUAUUCCUCAUUGAUUUUGUGGUAUUCAUUUCUGCCCUUCAGCUGGUCGGGGUGCUCCACAUUUUGGAUAAUAAACUGCUGUGCGUAGCAUCUGAAGAGGCUGCACUCUGGCCUUUCUUCAUUGAUCACCAAGCCAGAAGCCUCUGCAGAGUUUUCUCGCUGAUGAUUCCCUCUGCCUGGACAUCUUUCUUCCACUGAUGGUCCCAUAACUGCUACCUUCCUUCCCUCGGGCCUGAAAUCAAACGGCACCUUCCCCAAGAGGCCUGCGUUGAUCUCAGAUCCCAAAGAAUCACACCCCCAUCAGUGUAUCCUGGCAUGCUCUUUUAUUUUCUCUUUAGCACAUAAGACUAUUAAGAGCCCUAGAAUUCCAGCGUUUGGGAAGAAUAGAUAGAAAUAUAUAUAUUGAUAAGCUAAUAUUUUGUCACUUUAAGUUGCUAUGAUCUGCUUUAAAAUUAAUCUUUUAAGGAAUCUCUUUAAUGCAAAGUACUCUCAAGGUUUGGAAUACACUCCUUGUCUUUUUAGACUCAGAUCGUUAUUCUGGAGGGCAUGCCAAUAUAUGGCUAGGGGCAAAUGCCCAGGUUUGGUUACCUUACAGGUUCUAAAUCUAAAUAACUUGUGUGUAUAAUCAGUAGAUUAAAACUCUACUCUCAGAAAAAAUGUUUUUCUCAUCCUUGUAUAUGUGUGUGUGAAAAUUUACUUUUUUCUUUAAAGAAUUGAAGGUAGAGUGCCUAACUAAACUAUGGUUUAGAAGGACAAGUAUAGAGGUCUGCCCUGGGAGGGAGGGUUGGGGGACGGGCAGAUUAGGUAUGCGGUUCUCCACCCCGGCUGUACGUUAUUAAUAAUGAUCUAUCCUACCAACCGGGACCAAUCAAAUCAGGAUCUUGGAGGGUGCGCCCAGGCACUAGUGUUUUGUGUACUGUGCCAGGCGAGCUGACCAGGGGUGAGAGCCACUGGAUCAGCAGGCUGCUGUAGUCCAGUCUUGAGAAAAGGGAGUUACCAGGGCAGUCGUUGUCAGCCCUGCCUUCCCCACGCCUGCCAGUUAGAGGCGCCUGAUUCUCAUCCAGCUCUGACCGAACCUGGAAAGAACCUAGGAUCCCCCUCUCUGCCGGUGGUUUCCGGAACUGGUCUGGCUAUCUUCAACAGUGUUCAAAGAGCCUAGCGCUGCCACCACGGCACCCUCUCCUCCGUUCUGGUCCCCUGUUUCGAUUUCCCUUUUUUUUCUUCCCCGCCGCACUACGUGGCUUGCGGGGUCUUAGGCCUUAGCUCCCUAGCCAGAGAUUAUACCCCGGGCCUCGGCAGUGAAAGCUCGCAGUCCUAACCACUGGACCGCCAGGGAAUUGCCCUGUUUCAGUUUCCUGAUUGGUUUCCAGCUGCCCUCCUGAACCCUCAGCCCAGACCUUUUCCGGCUCCUCUGUGCCUAGCUACUCUUUGCUUAGCUCCUGCUGGCUUCCUUUUCAUGGACUCAGGGCCUUAUUCCCUCUGUCCAAGCCGCCAGCUGGGGUCUGGCUUCCAACAGAUUGAACCACCCAGAAUCACAGUGGAGGCUCCCUCCUGACUCAUCCCAGCCUGGCAAACUCAGAAGCUGCCAAAGCCCCAGUGGGACAAUCUCCUUGAACAUGGCCCCUCAACAUGGCCUUUGAAUUCCUGGAGAAAUAAACUCCACGCCCUUAGCAGGGGGCUGUGCAAAGCUAUGUGCAAGGGGGCCUGAACACAGGGAGGGGUGAAAAAUGGGGGCCAAUGAAUGCAGUCAGCCAACCACAGAUGGGAAGCAAAUAAGGGAGAUAUGGACUGAGCAUUUCUGGGGAAGAAGCAAAAAUUGUGUGAACAUCAGCUCUACAGGGAGUUUAAUUUGAUCUGAGGUGAAAAUAGGUGACAAAAUGACAAUUGUGAUCAUGUUGCCAUGAAGCAUCCGAAAGUUCGGUAACUUGGAUGCGAGUCGAGAAAGGUAUAUGAAUUAUUUAGACAAGUUAAUAAUGGCAACUUGAGUGCUGCUCACAAGCGUGAACCAGGGGAGAGAACGGGCUUGGAUGGGAUCCUGGCAAACACUGGGGGGUCCGCCACGCAAAGCUGCUUCCUCCCAGGAAAGGAACGGGGGAGUCAGGGCUAGAGCGACCGCAGUGUGGUUCUUGGGAGCCUCUGUGGACUUGGUUGUACGACGUACACCCAGUUCAUCCCUUUGCUUCUGGCACAGCAGCCUCAACUCUCUGAACUUCCUCUCCUCCAGGCACCUGGGUGGAUUAUACCUCCCUGCCCCUUUGAAAUACGAGAGGAGGUGUCAUACGUCACUUCCUUGUAGAAGCCAUGAAGAGCCACCACUGUAUUUUUUUGGUGUUCUCUUCUCCUGUGACAAUGAAUUGUCAACCUUGCAUUGAGAUGGUGGCAUCAAAAAACAGUAGUCUUGGGUCCCUGGGUGACUAAAUUAAGCACAGCCACCUGCUGACUCACAGUGGACAAAUAGCAUGAAAGAGACAUAAACCUUUACUGUGUUAAGCCACGGAGCAUCAGAGGUUGUUGUUACUGCAGCAGAGCCUAGCCUAUCCUGACUACUGGAAGGACUUUCCCCAUGAACGUGCCCCUGUUAACUCUCUAGAACUUUUGCUUACCCUCCAGCCUGGUAGAGUAGAAGGAACCAGUUUUUAUCACUGAGAGGGGGAAAAACUUUCUGGCAUUACCCUUCUGUGCUCCUCUAAGGUGGAUGGACUAAUGGAGAAUGGAGGAGAACUAAUGUUUGUUGAUUUCCUGCUCUGCACCAGGCACCAUGCUGGUGCUGUGCAUGCAGCCAGUCUUUAGAACAGUAUGGUUAAAGGAUUUUGAUUUUUAUGUUAUUGAUAAGGAAGAAGAGCUCAAAAGAGGUUAACUUGCUUGUCUGUAAAUCUAGCUAGGAGAUGACAGAGCCAGGAGAAGAACUGAAGUCCAUCUGACUACAAAACCUAUGUUCUUUUCUUGUAAAAUAAAUAUACAAGUAAUGAGCUUUUAACCCCUCAUAGCCUGUUAGUGUUUUUCUCCAGACCAUAAUCUCUUUGGAAUAAUCUUUAGUUAGAUCAAGCUAUUAUUCCAAGCUAUUAUUCUUAGAAUUAUUUUCUUCUUUUAUUUCACUCAGAUUUGUUUUUACUGAUCUUUGACACCUGAGGUGCUACAAAUCUGCAUGUUUGUUUAAACUCCAACCAAACGCAUUCAUGUUUAAUUUGGAAUAUCAUCACCAGGAUGUCUGGAAAUUCUUCUACCGCGGCUACGGGUUUUUUAAAAAUGUGAGUUUUGCCCUUUCUGGCAAGGAUCUUGGAGGAGGGAAAUAGAAUGAGAUGAGAUGUGGAGGGAGAAGGUUUAUUUGUAAAGAGGAGAGCAUGAAGGCUGUACGCAGUUACCAGAGGCCCUUUAGUACAUGGGCUCUUUUCAGCUAUCUCUCCGUGACGCUUAGAAAUGUGUGAUCCAUCUACUCCAGGAGAUCCCUGGUGACUCCCGCUGGGCCUCACCAAAAUAAGAUGAAAUCUCGAUGCAAACCCACGACUCACCCUCUGAUUCCCUUGGCUUUCAGAGCGCAGCCAAGCCGCCCCAUUCAGAGUUCGGCAGAGGGCAUGCCUUGGCCUGUGUUCUCCAACUCAUGACAUGACUUCAGGAUGGAGGGCCAGGAUUUUUCUCAAGUGUAACAAUAUUAAUUAUCAAGUCACUUUAACACACGUGUGAUAUAUGUGUGCAUUUAUUUCACAGGAAUAGUAAAAAGAUUAAAUACUUAAUGAAUCCAUUUUUCAUAUCAAGGAUAUAUUUGCCCUGUGCCUAACUAUAUCUCUCCCUUCUGUUUCUCAUGAGAAAUAUAGCUAUCUUUAUUAUGUAAUCAGUAAUAUAUCAUUCCUUCUAAGCAGGAUCUAAUUUUAGCAACAAGAUGAAUGGCCCAGGAAUGUAUUCCACUGCCCUCUGCAGAAAGGAAUAUAUAUCAGACCUGCUCAGGUGUGUGUCACUUCUUUAUAUUGGGAGCUUUCAAGCUCCCCAAGUGGCAGCCUGGGUUUUUCUGGCUGACAGCCCCAAGUUCUCUGUUAUGGCUGCACAGACAGCAUUAGGAAACGGCCAUGUGUGAACAAUAACCAGGCUUGCUCGCUCCAGCCAAUGAGGGAUGUGGCUCUCCUGGGCCUAGGAUUAUUGCACCAGCUAGAAAAUGAACAGUUGGGGCUUUAAUUUAUUUAUGUGCAGGAUCUGUUUGUAUAGGACCAUCCUCAACUUCCUACCCACCACCUCCCAUUUUUUCCCCUGAUGCCUUUAAGCAGUGAAAUUUCUUUAAAAUGCAGGAAUAAUUCCAGUUUGACUAGCAGCAUGAGGAAUUAGUUUUUCUUGAGCUUUCAAGGAGAAAAUGAUCAUUUUCUUUCAUGCUGCCUGUGAGUUUUAUAGCUUCUUCUGCCCAUUCAUAGCACCUUGUAUCUUGAUAACAUUUUAAUUUUGAAGGUAUUUUGAAUUCAUUUUUGAAUUGAUCUGUAGGAGAAUCAAAGCAAUACCUUAUCUACAUUUCAGAUGUGAAAACUGAGGCUCAGAGAGGGUUAGUGAUUUGUUCAGGUUUGGGGACAUGGCCAACUAAAAAGGAAAACUCCAUAUCACACGGUUGCCUAUGCUUAAUUUUUAAUGAUCUCUAUAUAAGAUGGAAGAUAAAAGUUAGAGGUGUUUGCUUUUGCAACAGUUGUAUAUGUGAAAAUCUGAAAUUCUUUGUGCAACUUCUGUAUUUGCUGAUUCUAAGAUGUACUUUUCUCUCAUACUUGUGUCCCCAAAACUGGGAUACAGCUGAUAAUCAAUGGAGAAUCUUAAUCUAAUUGGUACUAUUUUUCCUUUCUUAGUGGUUGCAGCAGAUUGACACUUAAAGUACCCCAAAUCUUCACCCAUCUCUGUCUCCACGUCCUUCGCAAAGAUGUCACUUUGCAACUCUCCCAUCAAUCAAAUCUAUUUCCCUAAGCCUGGAAAAUGGGUGGGUCUUAUCUUUAUUUGUUCUUGUAGAGGGCACGUUGGUGCCCACCCAUUCCCCUUGGCCCUUACUGCCUCCGCCUGCCUGACUUCCACAGGCACAUGCAUUCUUUGCUUGAGGCUGUCUUUGCCUACUGUGAUGGCUUAAAAUAUGUUCACAGUCUUUGACAUGCCUCCCUCCUCUCCUCUUGAACGUGGGCCAUGUUUCAUGACUUGUCUCACUCCUCUCAAAUGGAAGCUUGGAGAGAUAGUGUGACUUUCAAGAGGAGGUUAUAAAAGCACUGUGGCUUCACCCUCUCGGAUCACUCACUUUGCGGUAAGCCCUAUACCUUGUCCUGAGGACAUACAAGGGGUCAAAGGAAUUGAGACCUCCGGCUAAAAGCCAGCCCUGACUGGCCAGCCAUGUGAGUGGAUCAUGUUAGAAACAGAUCCUCCAGCCACAGUCCAGCCUUUAGAUAAUGAAAGUCUUUCCGAUUUCUUAACUGCAGCCUCAUGAGGAAACAGAAGCCAGAACCCACCAGCUAAGCUAUUCCAAAAUCUCUGACCCUCACAAAUAAUAUGAGGUAAUAAAUAUUUAUGGUUGUAUUAAGCCACUAAGUGUUGGGAUAAUUCAUUGCACAUCAGUAUAUAACUAAAUAUAUAAACUUAUCCAUGUGGCAAGCUGGAAAGUUUGGUGGAUUACAUUUUGGAAGCAUCCCUCAACCAAUGACAUGCAGUAGUUUGUAUAAAUACCACAGCUUCCUCAUGCCUUGUAGAUCACUGAACUCUCAGAGUUUCCCCAGGGGAAACUCCAUUUGCCUGGGAUAGUAACUGGAUUGAUAACACCCUUUAUUGACUACUUUCCCUCCCCUAACUUCUUCAUGUCCCUACUGGUGUUUCCUUCACCUCCCAUAUUAAUGACUUGUUCUUAAAUCCUUGUCUCAAUACCUCCUUUUUUGGGGGAGGAAGGAUGCAAACUAGAUCAAUUCCACAUAACCAGUUGCCAGAUCCUGUGUAUUUUUAAUUUGAAAUUAUAUUUCCAUGGUUGCAGUUCAAUAGCGCCAACCUGACCUAAUGCAAAAAAAAAAAAAAAAGCUAAAAGGAACCCUCCCACUUCACACAUAUAUGAAUGUUGGUGAAAAUAUACCCCCUCCUCAAUUUUUAAUACAAUUUAAAACUCAAAACUAGGGGAAAAAAAUCCUCAAGUGCCAAGCACAAAGAGAAUACUCAAAGUUACAGUGAUAAGAGGGAGGUGAAAUAAAAAUGCUCACAUGUGAAUCAGGAGGAGAGAGAGACCUUAGCAGCUGAAGCUUUGAAGCUCUGUGAGCAGGAUUAUGUAGGUCUGAGCUCCGUGAGACCAUAAUCAGGAACCAGGCUACCUGCCUAAAGCCAGGGGUCCUGAAGAGAUUAUCUAGUAUCCUCUGAAUCUGGAACUAGAGAAAACUUCUGCUAGCCUAGGGGAAUUGCAGGAAAGCGUCUAAUUUUCUUGGGGCUGUGAAAGUAAUAGGAAUCACCAAAAAAAAGGGAAAUUUGUUCCACAAGUUGUAUGAGGCCUGAAUUCUGAUUACUCAUGUACUAUGGGAACCCCAAACUAAGAAAUUAUCCUAAAAUCUUGUCCAGAAUUGGUAAGUGUAAAAAUGCUCCAAAAGGAUGUUUUAGGGCACAUGAAAAUUCUGUGGCCUCCCCUUUCAAUCUCAUCUCUUUAAGGAAGAGUUUAUGGAAAGAGAAA